rnacentral:rRNA from 1 species
UACGUAGGGGGCAAGCGUUGUCCGGAUUUAUUGGGCGUAAAGAGCGUGUAGGCGGUGCUCUAAGUUCGGUGUGAAAUCUCCCGGCUUAACUGGGAGGGUGCGCCGGAAACUGGAGUGCUCGAGCGUGGGAGAGGAAAGCGGAAUUCCUGGUGUAGCGGUGAAAUGCGUAGAUAUCAGGAGGAACACCGGUGGCGAAGGCGGUUCUCUGGGCAUUACCUGACGCUGAGGAGCGAAAGUGUGGGGAGCGAACAGG